GAUCCAGACUUUGAUUCUGGCUCAGGACGAACGCUGGCGGCGCGCCUAACACAUGCAAGUCGAACGAGCAAAGAGGAGCUUGCUUCUCUGAGCGAGUGGCGAACGGGUGAGUAACGCGUGAGGAACCUGCCUCAAAGAGGGGGACAACAGUUGGAAACGACUGCUAAUACCGCAUAAGCCCACGGGUCGGCAUCGACCAGAGGGAAAAGGAGCAAUCCGCUUUGAGAUGGCCUCGCGUCCGAUUAGCUAGUUGGUGAGGUAAUGGCCCACCAAGGCGACGAUCGGUAGCCGGACUGAGAGGUUGAACGGCCACAUUGGGACUGAGACACGGCCCAGACUCCUACGGGAGGCAGCAGUGGGGAAUAUUGCACAAUGGGGGAAACCCUGAUGCAGCGACGCCGCGUGGAGGAAGAAGGUCUUCGGAUUGUAAACUCCUGUUGUUGAGGAAGAUAAUGACGGUACUCA
rnacentral:rRNA from 1 species